ACUCAAAUGAAUUGACGGGGACCCGCACAAGCGGUGGAUCAUGUUCUUUAAUUCGAUGCUAAACGAAGAACCUUACCAGGACUUGACAUCCUUGGAAGCACUACGAAAGUAGCGUGUGCCUUUUGGAACCAAGUGACAGGUGUUGCAUGGCCGUCGUCAGCUCGUGUCGUGAGAUGUUUGGUUAAGUCCAUCAACGAGCGCAACCCUUAUGGUCUGUUGUAUUUUUCAGGCCAGACUGCCCCGGUAACGGGGAGGAAGGAGGGGAUGAUGUCAGGUCAGUAUUACCCUUACGUCCUGGGCUAGAAACGUGAUACAAUGGCAAGUACAAUGCGCAGCGAAGCCGCGAGGUGAAGCAAAUCGCAUCAAAGCUUGUCCCAGUUCGGAUUGGAGGCUGAAACUCGCCUCCAUGAAGUCGGAAUCGCUAGUAAUCGCAGAUCAGCAAGCUGCGGUGAAUACGUUCCCGGGUCUUGUACACACCGCCCGU
rnacentral:rRNA from 1 species